UUCUAUGGGCGGGCCGGGUGGGGAGCCGCAAGGCUCGCCGGUUGCCUAUGUUGCCGGUCUGCUAACCCGCCCGGUUCCGUCCACCCGU
rnacentral:antisense_RNA from 1 species